rnacentral:rRNA from 1 species
UACGGGGGGAGCAAGCGUUGUUCGGAUUUACUGGGCGUAAAGGGCGCGUAGGCGGCGUGACAAGUCACUUGUGAAAUCUCCGGGCUUAACUCGGAACGGUCAAGUGAUACUGUCGUGCUAGAGUACAGAAGGGGCAACUGGAAUUCUCGGUGUAGCGGUGAAAUGCGUAGAUAUCGAGAGGAACACCGGAGGCGAAGGCGGCUCACUGGGUCUUUCCUGACGCUGAGGAACGAAAGCGUGGGGAGCAAACAGG